rnacentral:rRNA from 1 species
UACGAAGGGGGCUAGCGUUGUUCGGAAUCACUGGGCGUAAAGGGCGCGUAGGCGGCUUUGUAAGUCGGGGGUGAAAGCCUGUGGCUCAACCACAGAAUUGCCUUCGAUACUGCAUGGCUUGAGACCGGAAGAGGUAAGUGGAACUGCGAGUGUAGAGGUGAAAUACAUAGAGAUGUCAUAGAACACCGAUUGCGAAGGCAGCUGACGAAACUAUAACUGACACUGAGGCUCGAAAGUGCGGGGAUCAAACAGG